rnacentral:rRNA from 1 species
UUAAGUCAGGCAACAAGCGAGACCCACGCCCACAGUUGCCAGCGUACUCUCUGGAGUGACGGGUACACUGUGGGGACCGCCGCUGCUAAAGCGGAGGAAGGAAUGGGCAACGGUAGGUCAGUAUGCCCCGAAUGUCCCGGGCUACACGCGGGCUACAAUGGUUGGUACAAUGGGUAUCUACCCCGAAAGGGGAUGGAAAUCUCCUAAAGCCAAUCUUAGUUCGGAUCGAGGGCUGCAACUCGCCCUCGUGAAGCUGGAAUCCGUAGUAAUCGCGUUUCAAUAGAACGCGGUGAAUACGUCCCUGCUCCUUGCACA